UACGGAGGAUGCAAGCGUUAUCCGGAAUUAUUGGGCGUAAAGCGUCCGCAGGUGGCACUUCAAGUCUGUCGUCAAAGACCGGGGCUUAACCCUGGAAAGGCGAUGGAAACUGAAAGGCUAGAGAGAGGUAGGGGUAGAGGGAAUUCCCAGUGUAGCGGUGAAAUGCGUAGAGAUUGGGAAGAACACCAACGGCGAAAGCACUCUGCUGGGCCGACACUGACACUGAGAGACGAAAGCUAGGGGAGCGAAUGGG
rnacentral:rRNA from 1 species